AUGCAAGUCUACUUGACUUCGGUUUGGGUGGCGGACGGGUGAGUAACGCGUAAAGAACUUGCCUCACAGUUAGGGACAACAUUUGGAAACGAAUGCUAAUACCUGAUAUUAUGAUUUUAGGGCAUCCUAAGAUUAUGAAAGCUAUAUGUGCUGUGAGAGAGCUUUGCGUCCCAUUAGCUAGUUGGAGAGGUAACGGCUCACCAAGGCGAUGAUGGGUAGCCGGCCUGAGAGGGUGAACGGCCACAAGGGGACUGAGACACGGCCCUUACUCCUACGGGAGGCAGCAGUGGGGAAUAUUGGACAAUGGACCAAAAGUCUGAUCCAGCAAUUCUGUGUGCACGAUGACGUUUUUCGGAAUGUAAAGUGCUUUCAGUUGGGAAGAAAAAAAUGACGGUACCAACAGAAGAAGUGACGGCUAAAUACGUGCCAGCAGCCGCGGUAAUACGUAUGUCACAAGCGUUAUCCGGAUUUAUUGGGCGUAAAGCGCGUCUAGGUGGUUAUGUAAGUCUGAUGUGAAAAUGCAGGGCUCAACUCUGUAUUGCGUUGGAAACUGCAUGACUAGAGUACUGGAGAGGUAAGCGGAACUACAAGUGUAGAGGUGAAAUUCGUAGAUAUUUGUAGGAAUGCCGAUGGGGAAGCCAGCUUACUGGACAGAUACUGACGCUAAAGCGCGAAAGCGUGGGGUAGCAAAACAGGAUUAGAUACC
rnacentral:rRNA from 1 species